AAUAAAUAUAAAAUAUAAUAAAAAACUAAAAAAAAUUAAAUGUACAAUAUAAGAAAAAGAAUAUUACAUUAAAUAUCUAGCGUAAUAUUAGUUUACGUAAAUAUACAAUAUAGAAGAAAUAAAUAAUAAACAAAUAUAUAAUAUAAGAAGUAGAAAAAUUAUAUUAACUAUCUAUCUGAAAAAAUGUUAAAUUAAAUAAAUAAUCAGAAAAUAAUACAUUAAAAAUAUAUUUUAGUAUUACCAUUUGAUAUAAAACAAUAAGAAUAGUUAGAUAAUUAACAUUUGAAAAUUAAUAUAGAUCCGCGCGUAGCGCGGAUAAAUCCCUAGUUUUUCUAAAAAUAAAUAAACUUUAGUUUAGGAUGAAACUGACACAGUAACAAAGUUGAGGUUGGAAAACGCACAACUAAACUUGUUAAAGUUGGAAUUUGUUAAAUAUUAAUUAUCUAUUAGGAAAGUGAUAAGUUCAAAAAGAGAUAAUGCUUAUCAUAUUAUGUUUUGUCUUCUUGUCUAAGUCGGUCUAAUCACACCGACUUGUAUUUCCUAUAUAAAGACUUUGUACGUGAUGAAUGAAAUGAUGAAAAACAAGUCUUUGGACUCUCUCUUUUGUAAUACAUAUAUUUCUUAUACAAGUCAACAUCUCAUAUCCCUCUCUCUCCAUCGAUCAACAUAUAUUUAUAUAUAAAGAAAAUAAACAACAUCAGAUCCUUAUUAUACAACACGUUAUCAGCACGAAACUCUGACCAACUGAAGCUUAUCAAUCGGAAAGUUCUUAAACCAGCCGAGGUAAUUUUUAAAUUUAUGUAUUUCAAUAUAUUUAAUUUAUUUAAAUUUUAUUAUUAUUUCGGAGUGAGAGGCUGGACCUUCUCCGUUUAUUUUUCGGGAUGAUAGACGCUGUCUUCCCCGACUGAUCGUUAUGGUAGGCUAUUCCUUCACGAUCAUAGAAACACGUGGUAGGCGUUGCCUCCGUGAAUAAAAAAAAUAAAAUAAUGGUAAAAAAUGGUAGACUAAGUCUCCUCGGACCUUGAAAUAAGUAAAAGUCAAAAUGGUAGACCAUGUCUCCUCGGACUUUGAAAAAAUGAUCAAUAUGGUAGUCUAAGACUCUUCGGAUCAUGUGGUAGGCUAAGCCUCCAAUUAUAUAUAUGCUCUUUAAAUUUCUAUAAUUUAAAUUUAUGCCUUUAGUUUCUGCAUUUCAAUUUCCGUCUUUAUAUAUUAUUGUUCUAUGAAUUCGGUUAUCAUAUCAAAUUUGACAAAGCUCAAAAUAAAUGCCCUUGAUAUUACGGGAAAUAGUUAUAUGACCUGGGCAGUGGGUGCAAAGAUGCACCUGAGAAAAAAAUGAGCAUUGAGAAAUCAUCGAUAAGUUGAAACUAUAUCGGAUGAGAAAAAGAUAAAGCCAUGAUAAUUUACACCACUUUAAUGAUGGUUUAUAAGAUGAAGUGUAUCAUGAGAAAAAUCUAGAAGAUCUUUGAAUAAUCAAAUCCUUGAAAGAAAGGAUUCACCAAAUUGUUCGAGUUGAUGUAAAUCCUCCGUGAGAAUUGAAAAGAAAAGAAACUCAUGAUACUAAACCAUCAAAUCGGUCCUUCUUGAAAAGGACAAGGGUGUGGAUGCGGUUGAAACCGCUAUCGUGGUCGUGGAAGAGGACGAGGAAGAAGAUUCCAUCCCUAUGAAAAUAAUGGAAACUUCCACGAAAAAUGAAAGUGGUCGGGUGAUAAAAGGCAAACAGAAAAGGUUUGCUAUAGAUACGGCCAGAUAGAAAAUUGAGUACGUAGUUUUCGUACGCCAAAUAUUUAGCCGAUCUAUAUCGAGAUUCAAAAAGAAAAAGACAAAGGAAGUGAAAUAAACUUCAUCUCUUAUGAGCCCGGACCAUCUUUUCAUAGCUUGAAUACUCAUCUUGAUGAUUCAGAUUUUCUGGUUGGUCCAGAAAAUGAAAAUAAAAUAUCGAUGUGAUAUGAGAAUUAUCUUCCUGAAUAAGAUUUUGAGAUUCAGGAUGAAGAUAGAUGUACCUGGCAGAUAUUGGGUCAUCGUACAUUACUACUAAAGGUAACAAAUAUUUCUCCUCUCUUAAAAUAAGUAAGUACAAUAUCUAUUACUAUAAAAAUUAUUAUUGGCUCUAGAGGAGCUUAUGAUGAAAAGACAUGCAUAAGAAAAGGAUGGCAAAAGUAUAAAUGAGUGGUAAACCUGAAGUUUACUGAUAUAUAGCCAUCUCCAAUAAUGUUAUCCACAUUAUUGUGAAAUACUGAAAAACUAGAAGUUUUUCACAUAUAGCAUGUCAAGAAAAUAAAGGAAGCCAUCAUGAGUGUUGAAUCAUCAAACAAGUUCAUAAUAUGUGAUUUCUUUAAGCAGACCCCAAAUUAAGAUCUCACUCAACGAGAAAGAGCCGACGAAAACAUUUAAAGAUAAUUCGGCUUGUGUCCCUCAACUCAAAUAAGGUCACAUUAAGAUUGACAGAACGAAGCAUAUCCCUCCAAGAUUCUUCUCGUACAUAAGGGAGCUCGAGAAAAAUAAAAAGGUGGAUAUCGAAUAUGUACGGUCAUGCGACAAUCCGGCAGACUUGUUUACAAAUGUUCUUCCUACGACAACAUUCUGAAAACACGUGUAUGGUAUCGGAAUGCGGCAUUUCCGUGACCUAUGAAGAGAAACCUAUGCCCACUAUUCCCAGGGGGAGAUUACGACAGUAUACUCUUUUUUCCUUGUCAUGGUUUUUGUCCCAAUGGGUUUUUCCAUGACUAGGUUUUUAACGAGGCACUACGUAAUACAAAAUAGAUAAUUAAGGGGGAGUGUUAAAUAUUAAUUAUCUAUUAGGAAAGUGAUAAGUUCAGAAAGAGAUAAUGCUUAUCAUAUUAUGUUUUGUCUUCUUGUCUAAGUCGGUCUAAUCACACCGACUUGUAUCUCCUAUAUAAAGACCUUGUACGUGAUGAGACCGACUUGUAUCUCCUAUAUAAAGACCUUGUACGUGAUGAAUGCAAUGACGAAAAACAAGUCUUUUGACUCUCUCUUUUGUAAUACAUAUAUUUCUUAUACAAGUCAACAUUUCAUAUCCUUCUCUCUCCAUCGAUCGACAUAUAUUUAUAUAUAAAGAAAAUAAACAACAUCAGAUCCUUAUUAUACAACAGAAUUGAUCAUUUCCGUGUUUAUUGAAUACUUGAUUUCUAUUAGAGAUGUUAGAUGAUCCAUAGUCUGUUUAUGGCGAUUUUUUAUUUUUAUUUUUCAAACCAUGGGGACUGGCCUGCUACAGAUUGCAGUUCUAGAACAUAUUUCUAAGCCCGUACUGAUUUGUCUAGCGGGCUUGCCCAUUGGUUAUAGAAAAUUUGAUUCAAAAAUUGUUUGAAUGUGGAAAUCCCUUUAGUUUAAUGGUUUAAUUGAUAGUUUUAUAAUGUUUUUACUCUAUAAAGUCUGAGUUUCAAAUCAUAGAAAAAUGAAUUAUACGGAUCAAAAAAUAAAAUAAAAAACUAUAGAAGAUUUUCAGUAUGGUGUAAUCAAACGUGAAUCCUCAUAAAUCAUAUAAAUUGUUGGCUUAAAAAUAUUUUUUUUAUUUUUCAUUGUAAUAACAUAAUUAACUAAUGUUAAAAAACUGUUUGAAUAUGUUUUGUGAAACUUCAUGAAAUACGCUAGCAUCUCUAAAACUUAUUGUCAAAUUUUCUUGUGGAAAACAAAUGAAAUAUUUCAUCGGCAUGUAACUAUUUCCAUUCAUAGAAAAAUUAACCAAAAAUUGACUGAUGUUUGUAAUUCUGGUAAGAGCUAUAUUCUGCUAGGCUCUGUUAAAUUUCAGUUUCAAGUCUUCAUUCGAUUCAUAUGGCUUCAAGCCACUAUGUAAAGAUAUAUACUUGUUGAUGCACUUACAUUAUUAUCUACCAAAAAUGUCUUAUGUUAUGCCAUUACGGCAUUGAAACCUGGAGCUGUACGUCUAUUUUCAGUAAAACUGAAAUCUUCUACUUUAUUCUCAACCGAGAUCUAUGAAAUCAGAUCUACCAUAAUCUGAUCGCUUUUUAUGAAUAUGCUAAAUAUUGUAUCCUGGCAUAAAUAAAUUAAUAUAAAUAUUUCCUAAUUUUCACAAUAUAGAAGAAAUAAAUAAUAAACAAAUAUAUAAUAUAAGAAAUAGAAAAAGUAUAUUAACUAUCUAUCUAAAAAAAUGUUAAAUUAAAUAAAUAAUCAGAAAAUAAUACAUUAAAAAUAUAUUUUACCAUUUGAUAUAAAACAAUAAGAAUAGUUAGAUAAUUAACAUUUGAAAAUUAAUAUAGAUCCGCGCGUAGCGCGGAUAAAUUCCUAGUUUUUCUAAAAAUAAAUAAACUUUAGUUUUGGAUGAAACUGACACAGUAACAAAGUUGAGGUUGGAAAACGCACAACUAAACUUGUUAAAGUUGGAAUUUGUUAAAUAUUAAUUAUCUAUUAGGAAAGUGAUAAGUUCAAAAAGAGAUAAUGCUUAUCAUAUUAUGUUUUGUCUUCUUGUCUAAGUCGGUCUAAUCACACCGACUUGUAUUUCCUAUAUAAAGACUUUGUACGUGAUGAAUGAAAUGAUGAAAAACAAGUCUUUGGACUCUCUCUUUUGUAAUACAUAUAUUUCUUAUACAAGUCAACAUCUCAUAUCUCUCUCUCUCCAUCGAUCGACAUAUAUUUAUAUAUAAAGAAAAUAAACAACAUCAGAUCCUUAUUAUACAACACGUUAUCAGCACGAAACUCUGACCAACUGAAGCUUAUCAAUCGGAAAGUUCUUAAACCAGCCGAGGUAAUUUUUAAAUUUAUGUAUUUCAAUAUACUUAAUUUAUUUAAAUUUUAUUAUUAUUUCGGAGUGAGAGGCUGGACCUUCUCCGUUUAUUUUUCGGGAUGAUAGACGCUGCCUUCCCCGACUGAUCGUUAUGGUAGGCUAUUCCUUCACGAUCAUAGAAACACGUGGUAGGCGUUGCCUCCGUGAAUAAAAAAAAUAAAAUAAUGGUAAAAAAUGGUAGACUAAGUCUCCUCGGACCUUGAAAUAAGUAAAAGUCAAAAUGGUAGACCAUGUCUCCUCGGACUUUGAAAAAAUGAUCAAUAUGGUAGUCUAAGACUCUUCGGAUCAUGUGGUAGGCUAAGCCUCCAAUUAUAUAUAUGCUCUUUAAAUUUCUAUAAUUUAAAUUUAUGCCUUUAGUUUCUGCAUUUCAAUUUUCGUCUUUAUAUAUUAUUGUUCUAUGAAUUCGGUUAUCAUAUCAAAUUUGACAAAGAUCAAAAUAAAUGCCCUUGAUAUUACGGGAAAUAGUUAUAUGACCUGGGCAGUGGGUGCAAAGAUGCACCUGAGAAAAAAAUGAGCUUUGAGAAAUCAUCGAUAAGUUGAAACUAUAUCGGAUGAGAAAAAGAUAAAGCCAUGAUAAUUUACACCACUUUAAUGAUGGUUUAUAAGAUGAAGUGUAUCAUGAGAAAAAUCUAGAAGAUCUUUGAAUAAUCAAAUCCUUGAAAGAAAGGAUUCACCAAAUUGUUGGAGUUGAUGUAAAUCCUCCGUGAGAAUUGAAAAGAAAAGAAACUCAUGAUACUAAACCAUCAAAUCGGUCCUUCUUGAAAAGGACAAGGGUGUGGAUGCGGUUGAAACCGCUAUCGUGGUCGUGGAAGAGGACGAGGAAGAAGAUUUCAUCCCUAUGAAAAUAAUGGAAACUUCCACGAAAAAUGAAAGUGGUCGGGUGAUAAAAGGCAAACAGAAAAGGUUUGCUAUAGAUACGGCCAGAUAGAAAAUUGAGUACGUAGUUUUCGUACGCCAAAUAUUUAGCCGAUCUAUAUCGAGAUUCAAAAAGAAAAAGACAAAGGAAGUGAAAUAAACUUCAUCUCUUAUGAGCCCGGACCAUCUUUUCAUAGCUUGAAUACUCUUCUUGAUGAUUCAGAUUUUCUGGUUGGUCCAGAAAAUGAAAAUAAAAUAUCGAUGUGAUAUGAGAAUUAUCUUCCUGAAUAAGAUUUUGAGAUUCAGGAUGAAGAUAGAUGUACCUGGCAGAUAUUGGGUCAUCGUACAUUACUACUAAAGACCCCAAAUUAAGAUCUCACUCAACGAGAAAGAGCCGACGAAAACAUUUAAAGAUAAUUCGGCUUGUGUCGCUCAACUCAAAUAAGGUCACAUUAAGAUUGACAGAACGAAGCAUAUCCCUCCAAGAUUCUUCUCGUACAUAAGGGAGCUCGAGAAAAAUAAAAAGGUGGAUAUCGAAUAUGCACGGUAAUGCGACAAUCCGGCAGACUUGUUUACAAAUGUUCUUCCUACGACAACAUUCUGAAAACACGUGUAUGGUAUCGGAAUGCGGCAUUUCCGUGACCUAUGAAGAGAAACCUAUGCCCACUAUUCCCAGGGGGAGAUUACGGCAGUGUACUCUUUUUUGCUUGUCAUGGUUUUUGUCCCAAUGGGUUUUUCCAUGACUAGGUUUUUAACGAGGCACUACGUAAUACAAAAUAGAUAAUUAAGGGGGAGUGUUAAAUAUUAAUUAUCUAUUAGGAAAGUGAUAAGUUCAGAAAGAGAUAAUGCUUAUCAUAUUAUGUUUUGUCUUCUUGUCUAAGUCGGUCUAAUCACACCGACUUGUAUCUCCUACAUAAAGACCUUGUACGUGAUGAAUGAAAUGACGAAAAAUAAGUCUUUUGACUCUCUCUUUUGUAAUACAUAUAUUUCUUAUACAAGUCAACAUUUCAUAUCCUUCUCUCUCCAUCGAUCGACAUAUAUUUAUAUAUAAAGAAAAUAAACAACAUCAGAUCCUUAUUAUACAACAGAAUUGAUCAUUUCCGUGUUUAUUGAAUACUUGAUUUCUAUUAGAGAUGUUAGAUGAUCCAUAGUCUGUUUAUGGCGAUUUUUUUUUUAUUUUUCAAACCAUGGGGACUGACCUGCUACAGAUUGCAGUUCUAGAACAUUUUUCUAAGCCCGUACUGAUUUGUCUAGCGGGCUUGCCCAUUGGUUAUAGAAAAUUUGAUUCAAAAAUUGUUUGAAUGUGGAAAUCCCUUUAGUUUAAUGGUUUAAUUGAUAGUUUUAUAAUGUUUUUACUCUAUAAAGUCUGAGUUUCAAAUCAUAGAAAAAUGAAUUAUACGGAUCAAAAAAUAAAAUAAAAAACUA